rnacentral:misc_RNA from 1 species
UCUCCGUUGGUGAACCAGCGGAGGGAUCAUUACCGAGUUUACAACUCCCAAACCCCUAUGUGAACGUUACCAAACUGUUGCCUCGGCGGGAAAUUCAUGCCCCGGGCGCGUCGCUGCCCCGGACCAAGGCGCCCGCCGGAGGACCAACCAAAACUCUUUUGUAUGUCCCUCGCGGACUUUUAUAAUUCUGAACCAUCUCGGCGCCCCUAGCGGGCGUUUCGAAAAUGAAUCAAAACUUUCAACAACGGAUCUCUUGGUUCUG